UUCCAAAGUGUUGAGUGCAGUUCAGGGAAGCUUCCCUGUUCUGUUAAUUAAACUUUGGGACAUUGACAUGGGCUAGGGGAGAUGACUGGAUAGAAAGCACUAUUCUAUUCAUUUACCUCUUAGUCCUACAAAA
rnacentral:snoRNA from 1 species